rnacentral:lncRNA from 1 species
GCAUUGCAGAGAGACCUGUCUUAACAAAUAAGAAAGCAGGGUCUGUCCAGGGCAGGUGACUCUUGCCUGGCAUCCAGUGGUAAGGCCAAGCAGGAACCCAGUACGCUGACUCCACACUGGGCAUCUGGGUGAGAGGUUGCUUCCCUCAGCACACUGCUGCAGAGAGAGGGUGGGCCAGUGAUUCUCCGCUGGGUUCCCUGUCCCCUCCUCCUCUGUCCCCAACCAGCGGAAACGAUUGGGUUAACUCAAGCUGUGAAGUGAGCUGGCGAUUUGGGUGCUAAUUAAAACGACAGGAAGUAAACAGCCUCCAAAAUACCCAGCAUGCGCCCCCUAAACCCACUAGGCCUGCGCACUUCAUCUUUUCCCCCCAGCUUGGCGCAGUGGGCCUGUCUCCAUGGCAACUGAGCCGAGCUGCAGAGAUCAAAGCAGGAGAUGGGAAUUGGAUGUGUAAAUAAGGCAGAGGGAAGCAUAAACCUUACAUGGCUGGAUGUCACCAGAGCAACGCUAGA